rnacentral:rRNA from 1 species
GAUGAACGCUGGCGGUGUGCCUAAUACAUGCAAGUCGAGCGAACAGACGAGGAGCUUACUCCUCUGACGUUAGCGGCGGACGGGUGAGUAACACGUGGAUAACCUACCUAUAAGACUGGGAUAACUUCGGGAAACCGGAGCUAAUACCGGAUAACAUGUUGAACCGCAUGGUUCAACAGUGAAAGACGGUCUUGCUGUCACUUAUAGAUGGAUCCGCGUCGCAUUAGUUAGUUGGUAAGGUAACGGCUUACCAAGGCAACGAUGCGUAGCCGACCUGAGAGGGUGAUCGGCCACACUGAAACUGAGACACGGUCCAGACUCCUACGGGAGGCAGCAGUAGGGAAUCUUCCGCAAUGGGCGAAAGCCUGACGGAGCAACGCCGCGUGAGUGAAGAAGGUCUUCGGAUCGUAAAACUCUGUUAUUAGGGAAGAACAAAUGUGUAAGUAACUAUGCACGUCUUGACGGUACCUAAUCAGAAAGCCACGGCUAACUACGUG